rnacentral:rRNA from 1 species
UACGUAGGGGGCGAGCGUUGUCCGGAUUUACUGGGCGUAAAGGGUGAGUAGGCGGUUGUAUAUGUCAGGUGUAAAAGGCUAUGGCUUAACCAUGGUUAGCACUUGAAACUGUACAACUUGAGUGCAGGAGAGGUAAGUGGAAUUCCUAGUGUAGCGGUGAAAUGCGUAGAUAUUAGGAGGAACUCCAGUGGCGAAGGCGACUUACUGGACUGUAACUGACGCUGAGUCACGAAAGCGUGGGUAGCAAACAGGAUUAGAUACCCUGGUAGUCCCU